CUGUCCCAGAUCAUUUCAGAGACGAUUAGACCUCUCGACCAGUUUCUGCUCCUCGAUGACCCGAAGCCACGACCUGGACAAAACUCCUCCGUCCGACCACCUCUCCGCGGCGAACCACCGGCAACAGCUUCGUCUCUCCUUCACCUACGUCCCUGCGUUCUCGGAUUGUACAUGCAUUGACGGUGAACAAAGAAUCGAUGAUGAGAAGCUACGGGUUUUCCGGCGAAGUUCCUGCAAUCUCUGGCGAUCUUCGGGAUUGCAUGAGCUUCACCAGCGCGUCUGUUUCUCUUCUCUCUCCGCAGACGUCACCCACGUUUGGGUGUGGGCCGAGCUGGCACAGGCCUUGGCUGGGUCAAGGAAAAUGUCAUCCUCUUGCCUUUUUUCUUGACUUCGGUCAAGAAAGUUCAUCAUUUGCCCGGUCAAGAUUGUGUUGGUGGAAGAGAGAUUUUGGGGUUGGCCGGUCACCACCUCACCAAAUCCAUGCUUUGCCCGGUCAAAGAGGAACCGGUGGACUUGCUCUAAAGAUUUGUUGUUCUGACGUUUUGUUGUUCUGACGUUGAAGAGCCAUACUUAAAUUUAUGAGUUCAAAUCUCCCCAUUAUAUGACUGGUUGUUUCAAUUACAGUUUAAACACAAUUUCACUUAGUUAAUUAAUUAAUCAUGCAAAUUGGUAGUGUUCUAUGCGAAAUCUCCUCCAUAUAUACAUAUAUACAUAUAUAUAUAUAUAUAUAUAUAAUUGUGCAUCAUAGUCAAUUGAACUCAAAGAUCAUACGAUUAUUUCAUAACUAUAACACUGAUUAGACAUAAUAUAUGUAUAUUAAGUAUGCAUGACAUAAUGUGUGUGUAUAUUCAAGCAAAGAGAUAGGGGGUGCCUGGGAAAUUCUAACCAAUGCAAGCAGAUGUAGAUUUCAUGUGGGCGAGGAUUAAGUUUACGGCGACAAAUAUUGGAAAGAAGCCACUAGUAGUUCUUGGAUAUAGCAUAUUAUAUAUCAUGCGCUACAAAAGUUGUGGUCUCCAUAUAUACACAAUACAGUAGCACUACACUAAUUAGCCACAGCAUGUGUAUGAUAGCUACUUGAAACAAUGAGAAUUGAGAAAUAUUAGCUAAGCUUACCUUAUAGAUGAGGGACCGAUUCAUAUUGUUUGUAAAAAGACCCACUGACUAGGACAAGUUUGGCAUAAGAGGACCACGCACUACCUUUUUAUCUUGCAGAGAGAUAUGCACGGAAGUAGAUUCAACACCUUGAUGACCUAAAAGAUAGCAGCUGACACCAGCCCUAAUUGCUCUCUUCAAAUUACUCGCUUCAAAAUCACCCCUAGUAUAAUAAUCUGUCCAUUCCUUUGACUAAUCGGUCCUCAAUAAUAUGUAGAGUGGUUUACUGGUUUUCUUUCUGAUGGCUUUCCUACCUAUAAUGAUGGCCCAGAACUUAAUAACCCUAGCUAGCGCUACUCUUAUUUUAUUGUUGGUUGUGUUUCAUCAGUGCUCCAGGCUCCAGCUAGCUAGGUAGCAAAAUCAGCAUAAUAUGUAAGUAAAAGAGCAAUCAUGAACAGUAUCACUUAGUUUCCGUUUUGUUGUUUUUACUCAUCAGCAGAACAGAAUCAAAGAGUUUCUGUUCGUCUUGAAAUAUUAGGCCUACUUCUUUAUUAGUUAUUAUAUCACCACAUGACACAUAUACUGUCAGAGAAGAGAGAGAGAGAGAGAGAGAGAGAGAGAGAGAGAGAGAGUAAAGUUCUGGUGUGUUUUGCAGGGAAGAGAAAGAGACGGGACAUGAAGCUUUUUUAGGGUUUGGUAUGUGUCUCUGUUUAAAGAGUGUAAACAAGCAGUGAUGGGAAUCUCAAGAAGAAGAAGAAGAAGAAGAAGAUCGAAGAGGCCAGAGCAGCAGCAGGCCAGCAGUAGCAGAAAGGCACUGCUGAGAGUGUUGGCAGUACAACUAGUGAUCGAGGCAGCUAGCUAGAGUGAGGUGAUAUCGAUUCACAAUUAAACGAUGUUAUUACUGAUCGAGUAGGUCGAUCUGACUAACUGGUUAUGUAAUAAAGCGAAGCUUAAGGGGUACGUAUUGGUGUUGGCCCCAAGGUCAAAAAUGGUCCCCGGGAUUCCAGACACAAGCUCUUCUGUCAGCUCACGACUAAUCGACCUCAACUUUCUGAAUCUACUCCUACACCCCUGCAGUAUUACCCUUCUAUGCAUCGAUCCCACCAUCACCAUGCUCUGUCAAAUUUCUUACCAACAACUUGUUUCUCUCAUCGUACGAUUAUGUAAAUGUGUGUGUGUGUGAGGUAUUAGGUAUGUAUGUAUAUACCACAUGCAUGAGCAUAUAAAUUAAACCACCCUUUUAACUUAUUUGCCCUAA